UACGUAGGGUGCGAGCGUUGUCCGGAAUUAUUGGGCGUAAAGAGCGUGUAGGCGGCUAGAUAGGUCCGUUGUGAAAACUCGAGGCUCAACCUCGAGACGCCGAUGGAAACCAUCUAGCUAGAGUCCGGAAGAGGAGAAUGGAAUUCCUGGUGUAGCGGUGAAAUGCGCAGAUAUCAGGAAGAACACCCGUGGCUAAGGCGGUUCUCCGUAGUACGGUACGACGCUGAGAACGCGGAAGCG
rnacentral:rRNA from 1 species